rnacentral:piRNA from 1 species
UGCAAGUUUGUAUGCUGGAAACGUGUACA